rnacentral:rRNA from 1 species
GUCCACGCCUUAAACGAUGAGAACUAGACGUUGGAAGGGUUAGCCUUUCAGUGUCGCAGCUAACGCGAUAAGUUCUCCGCCUGGGGAGUACGGCCGCAAGGUUGAAACUCAAAGGAAUUGACGGGUACCCGCACAAGCGGUGGAGCAUGUGGUUUAAUUCGAUGCAACGCGAAGAACCUUACCUGGCCUUGACAUCUGUCGAAUCCUGCAGAGAUGUGGGAGUGCCUUCGGGAACGACAAGACAGGUGCUGCAUGGCUGUCGU